UACGAAGGGGGCUAGCGUUGUUCGGAAUCACUGGGCGUAAAGGGCGCGUAGGCGGCUUUUCAAGUCGGGGGUGAAAGCCUGUGGCUCAACCACAGAAUCGCCUUCGAUACUGUUAGGCUUGAGACCGGAAGAGGUGAGUGGAACUGCGAGUGUAGAGGUGAAAUUCGUAGAUAUUCGCAAGAACACCAGUGGCGAAGGCGACUUACUGGACACAUAUUGACGCUGAGGUGCGAAAGCGUGGGGAGCAAACAGG
rnacentral:rRNA from 1 species